rnacentral:rRNA from 1 species
UACGUAGGGUGCAAGCGUUAAUCGGAAUUACUGGGCGUAAAGCGUGCGCAGGCGGUUGUGCAAGACAGAUGUGAAAUCCCCGGGCUUAACCUGGGAACUGCAUUUGUGACUGCACGGCUAGAGUGUGUCAGAGGGGGUAGAAUUCCACGUGUAGCAGUGAAAUGCGUAGAUAUGUGGAGGAAUACCGAUGGCGAAGGCAGCCCCCUGGGAUAACACUGACGCUCAUGCACGAAAGCUAGGGGAGCAAACAGG